ensembl:lncRNA
UUGGUUUUGAGAUUUAGACACAAGGGAAGCCUGAAAGGAGGUGUUGGGCACUAUUUUGGUUUGUAAAGCCUGUACUUCAAAUAUAUAUUUUGUGAGGGAGUGUAGCGAAUUGGCCAAUUUAAAAUAAAGUUGCAAGAGAUUGAAAGCUGAGUAGUUGAGAGGGUAACACGUUUAAUGAGAUCUUCUGAAACUGCUGCUUCUAAACACUUGUUUGAGUGAUGAGGCCUUGGAUAGGUGAGUGCUCUUGUUACAUGUCUGAUGCACUUGCUUGUCCUUUUCCAUCCACAUCCAUGCAUUCCACAUCCACGCAUUUGUCACUUAUCCCAUAUCUGUCAUAUCUGACAUACCUGUCUCUUCGUUACUUGGUCAGAAGAAACAGAUGUGAUAAUCCCCAGCCGCCCCAAGUUUGAGAAGAUGGCAGUUGCUUCUUUCCCUUUUUCCUGCUAAGUAAGGAUUUUCUCCUGGCUUUGACACCUCACGAAAUAGUCUUCCUGCCUUACAUUCUGGGCAUUAUUUCAAAUAUCUUUGGAGUGCGCUGCUCUCAAGUUUGUGUCUUCCUACUCUUAGAGUGAAUGCUCUUAGAGUGAAAGAGAAGGAAGAGAAGAUGUUGGCCGCAGUUCUCUGAUGAACACACCUCUGAAUAAUGGCCAAAGGAUCCUCAUUCAUGGAUCAAGCUGUAAGGAACUUGGGCUCCAACCUCAAAACAUUAAUUGGAGUACGAAUGUAAUUAAAACUGCAUUCUCGCAUUCCUAAGUUAUUUAGUCUGGACUCUGCAGCAUGUAGGUCGGCAGCUCCCACUUUCUCAAAGACCACUGAUGGAGGAGUAGUAAAAAUGGAGACCGAUUCAGAACAACCAACGGAGUGUUGCCGAAGAAACUGAUGGAAAUAAUGCAUGAAUUGUGUGGUGGACAUUUUUUUUAAAUACACAAACUACUUCAAAUGAGGUCGGAGAAGGUCAGUGUUUUAUUAGCAGCCAUAAAACCAGGUGAGCGAGUACCAUUUUUCUCUACAAGAAAAACGAUUCUGAGCUCUGCGUAAGUAUAAGUUCUCCAUAGCAGCUGAAGCUCCCCGCUGGCUGCCUGCCAUCUCAGCUGGAGUGCAGUGCCAUUUCCUUGGGGUUUCUCUCACAGCAGUAAUGGGACAAUGCUUCACAAAAAUUCUUUCUUUUCCUGUCAUGUGGGAUCCCUACUGUGCCCUCCUGGUUUUACGUUACCCCCUGACUGUUCCAUUCAGCGGUUUGGAAAGAAAAAAAGAAUUUG